UACGUAGGGGGCUAGCGUUGUCCGGAAUUAUUGGGCGUAAAGAGCUCGUAGGCGGUUUGUCGCGUCUGCUGUGAAAACUCAGGGCUUAACCCUGAGCCUGCAGUGGGUACGGGCAGACUAGAGUGUGGUAGGGGAGAUCGGAAUUCCGUGGUGUAGCGGUGGAAUGCGCAGAUAUCAGGAGGAACACCGGUGGCGAAGGCGGAUCUCUGGGCCAUAACUGACGCUGAGGAGCGAAAGCAUGGGGAGCGAACAGG
rnacentral:rRNA from 1 species